GUGGGGAAUAUUGCGCAAUGGGGGAAACCCUGACGCAGCAACGCCGCGUGAGUGAUGAAGGCUUUCGAGUCGUAAAACUCUGUCUUUGGGGACGAAUAAUGACGGUACCCAAGGAGGAAGCCCCGGCUAACUACGUGCCAGCAGCCGCGGUAAUACGUAGGGGGCGAGCGUUGUUCGGAAUCACUGGGCGUAAAGGGCGCGUCGGCGGUUUGUUAAGUCAGGUGUGAAAGUUUUCAGCUUAACUGGAAGAGUGCACUUGAAACUAACUUACUUGAGUACUGGAGAGGGAAGCGGAAUUCCUAGUGUAGCGGUGAGGUGCGUAGAUAUUAGGAAGAUCAGCGGGGGGGAAGGCGGCUUACUGGACAGAGACUGACGCUGAGGCGCGAAAGCGUGGGGAGCGAACAGGAUUAGAUACCCUAGUAGUCC
rnacentral:rRNA from 1 species